rnacentral:rRNA from 1 species
AGCAGGCAGAUCCCCUUCGGGGGUGACGCUUGUGGAUCGAGCGGCGGACGGGUGAGUAACACGUGGGCAACCUGCCUGAGAGACUGGGAUAACCCCGGGAAACCGGGGCUAAUACCGGAUAAUACUUUUCUUUGCAUGAAGGGAAGUUGAAAGGCGGCCUUUGGCUGCCGCUCACAGAUGGGCCCGCGGCGCAUUAGCUAGUUGGUGAGGUAAAAGCUUACCAAGGCGACGAUGCGUAGCCGACCUGAGAGGGUGAUCGGCCACACUGGGACUGAGACACGGCCCAGACUCCUACGGGAGGCAGCAGUAGGGAAUCAUCCGCAAUGGACGAAAGUCUGACGGUGCAACGCCGCGUGAGUGAUGAAGGUUUUCGGAUCGUAAAGCUCUGUUGUGAGGGAAGAACAAGUGCCGUUUGAAUAAGGCGGCACCUUGACGGUACCUCACCAGAAAGCCCCGGCUAACUACGUGCCAGCAGCCGCGGUAAUACGUAGGGGGCAAGCGUUGUCCGGAAUUAUUGGGCGUAAAGCGCGCGCAGGCGGUCUUUUAAGUCUGAUGUGAAAGCCCACGGCUUAACCGUGGAGGGUCAUUGGAAACUGGAGGACUUGAGUGCAGAAGAGGAGAGUGGAAUUCCACGUGUAGCGGUGAAAUGCGUAGAGAUGUGGAGGAACACCAGUGGCGAAGGCGACUCUCUGGUCUGUAACUGACGCUGAGGUGCGAAAGCGUGGGGAGCGAACAGGAUUAGAUACCCUGGUAGUCCACGCCGUAAACGAUGAGUGGUAGGUGUUAGGGGGUUUCCGCCCCUUAGUGCUGAAGUUAACGCAAUAAGCA